rnacentral:rRNA from 1 species
AGUCACUGACAUUAGAUACCCCUGUAGUCCCAGCCGUAAACAAUGUGCGUUAAGGUGUGUCGGUAACCACGCGUUACUGAUGCGCCGAAGAGAAAUCGUGAAACGCACCACCUGGGAAGUACGGUCGCAAGGCUGAAACUUAAAGGAAUUGGCGGGGAGCACCACAACAGGUGGAGCCUGCGGUUUAAUUGGAUUCAACGCCGGACAUCUCACCGGAUAAGACAGCUGAAUGAUUGUCAAUCUGAAGGUUUUACAUGACUAGCUG